rnacentral:misc_RNA from 1 species
GAUCUAAUUGAGCCAAAUGUUUUUUCUUUACAUAAUAUGUAUAGAAAUAUGUAUUUUUCUUUUCAGGUUUAUUUUGUAAAAAUUGUAAAAUAAAUAUAUUUUGUUUUUAUCUAUAUAUAAAUAUAGUAAUUAGUAUAUGAUGCAACCUAAUUUGCGAGAACCUCGAUCAAAACGUUUUGCUCCAUAUUUUGCUCAAAAAGAAUUAUUGCCUUUUGAAACAAUUGAAAAAAAUGGAAAAAAAUAUAUAAUACAGGAGAAUUAUGUUGGAUAUUUAACAGCAAUAGGAGUUGAAAUAAAAGAUGAAAGAAGCAUACAUCAGUUACAUGAAAAGGGAAACUUUGGCAUAGGAUACUUAUCAAAAGAUAUACCUGAAUUUUCAGACAAAAGAAGAAGCUUAUCUAAUUUUGAUGAAAUUAAUGAGGAUGGUGAAUGUCAACAACACUGUCAGGAGACAAGUUUAAGUUCUAAAAAUCAGUAUGAAACAUUGUAUCUGAUGUUUGAAGAGGCAUUUUUUUUAUCAUAUGGAUUAGGUUGCUUAAUUGUAAAAGAAAGUAAUAAGGAAUUAAGUAUUUCUGAAAUGUGGAAAAAGUUUUGUUGGUUGGCAUUAGAUGGAAGAUUUCCAUGUAAAUACAUUGCUUAUCAUUAUUUUCGUAGCAAAGGCUGGAUAGUCAAAUCUGGAUUGAAAUAUGGAACAGAUUUUGAAAAAAGUAUAAAGAUUGGAAUUUGGGGAUCAAAAUUUUGUACAAAGAUGGUCCAGCAUUUUAUCAUUCCACCUAUUGUGUUGUUGUACGCGAAGUAUCAUCAGAUUUUAACGAGCAGUCUUUAACAUGGUUGGAAUUACUUUCUUUAAACAGAGUUAAUGAACAUGUAGCUAAAGACACACUAUUAUGUUAUGUAAU